AACGACUCUCGGCAACGGAUAUCUCGGCUCUUGCAUCGAUGAAGAACGUAGCGAAAUGCGAUACUUGGUGUGAAUUGCAGAAUCCCGUGAACCAUCGAGUUUUUGAACGCAAGUUGCGCCYGAGACCUUUAGGUCGAGGGCACGUCUGCCUGGGC
rnacentral:rRNA from 1 species